UGGGGAAUAUUGCACAAUGGGCGAAAGCCUGAUGCAGCGACGCCGCGUGCGGGAUGAAGGCCUUCGGGUUGUAAACCGCUUUUAAUUGGGAGCAAGCGAGAGUGAGUGUACCUUUUGAAUAGGCACCGGCUAACUACGUGCCAGCAGCCGCGGUAAUACGUAGGGUGCAAGCGUUAUCCGGAAUUAUUGGGCGUAAAGAGCUCGUAGGCGGUUUGUCACGCCUGGUGUGAAAGUCCAUCGCUUAACGGUGGAUCUGCGCCGGGUACGGGCAGGCUAGAGUGCAGUAGGGGAGAUUGGAAUUCCCGGUGUAACGGUGGAAUGUGUAGAUAUCGGGAAGAACACCAAUGGCGAAGGCAGAUCUCUGGGCUGUUACUGACGCUGAGGAGCGAAAGCAUGGGGAGCGAACAGGAUUAGAUACCCUGGUAGUCCAUGCCGUAAACGGUGGAUGCUGGAUGUGG
rnacentral:rRNA from 1 species